rnacentral:rRNA from 1 species
AAUCAACGCUGGCGGCGUGCCUCAGACAUGCAAGUCGAACGCGAAAGGCUCCUUCGGGGGCCGAGUAGAGUGGCGCACGGGUGAGUAACACGUAGGUAAUUUGCCUUUGGGUGGGGAAUAACUCAGGGAAACUUGAGCUAAUACCGCAUAAUGCAGCGGCUCGACAUCGAGACAGUUGUUAAAGCGGGGGAUCGCAAGACCUCGCGCCUGAAGAGAAGCCUGCGGCAGAUUAGCUAGUUGGUAGGGUAAUGGCCUACCAAGGCGACGAUCUGUAACCGGCCUGAGAGGGCGGUCGGUCACACUGACACUGACAUACGGGUCAGACUCCUACGGGAGGCAGCAGUCGGGAAUUUUGGGCAAUGGGCGCAAGCCUGACCCAGCAACGCCGCGUGAAGGAUGAAAUCCCUCGGGAUGUAAACUUCGCAAGAAU